UUGAAAAAUUUUUAUAGGGAGUCUUACCUGCCCGGUGAUACAAUUUUAACGGCCGCGGUACUCUGACCGUGCAAAGGUAGCAUAAUCAUUUGCCUUAUAAUUGAAGGCUAGUAUGAAAGGUUUAAUGAGAACUAAGCUGGCUCCCGUUAAUUAAAAUGAAAUUGUCCUUUGGGUGCAAAGACCUAAAUUAAACUAAAAGACAAGAAGACCCUAUUGAGCUUUAAAAGUUAUAUGAUAUUUUAACGCUACAAUUUAACUGAAUUAUAGUUCAUUAAUCUUUUUUAGUUGGGGCGACUCUGGAACAACUAAAGCUUCCAGGAAUCUGCUAAAUAGCUAAGUUUAUAUCUGUUCAGAUGUGACCCUAUUUUGAUUAAUAGAAUAAGUUACCAUAGGGAUAACAGCAUAAUCUUUUUUGAGAGCUCUAAUCGAAAAAAAGGUUUGUGACCUCGAUGUUGGACUAGAAUAUCCUAAGGGUGCAGAAGUUCUUAAAGGUUGGUCUGUUCGACCAUUAAAAUUCUACGUGAUCU
rnacentral:rRNA from 1 species